rnacentral:rRNA from 1 species
UACGUAGGGUGCAAGCGUUUGUUCGGAAUCAUUGGGCGUAAAGCGCGUGUAGGUGGUUAUUUAAAGUCGAGUGUGAAAUCCCUGGGCUCAACCGAGGAAGUGCAUUCGAAACUGAAUAGCUAGAAGAUGGUAGAGGAAGGUGGAAUUCCUAGUGUAGAGGUGAAAUUCGUAGAUAUUAGGAGGAAUACCGGUGGCGAAGGCGGCCUUCUGGGCCAUUCUUGACACUGAGACGCGAAAGCCGUGGGGAGCAAACAGG